rnacentral:lncRNA from 1 species
GGUCCUUGCCAGGGGACUCAGCCCCCCUGGUUAUUGUCAAGCCACCCAAGGUAGCUGGUCCUUCCAAGGGGCUCAGCCUCCCUGGCCAUCAUCUCGUGACCCAGCUCACCUGAUCCUUCCCAAGAAGGAGCCUCACCUCCAGGACACCCCACACCCGGUGCCUUUGCCGUGUCCUCAUCACACACAUCCAGGAGCAAAGCAACACAAAGCCAACUCACAGCCCUGGGGAGAGGCUUCCCCCCAGUUGCGCUGCACAGCGCACAGGGAAGUUCCUGGUUUUUCUGUGCCAUCCACAUACCCCCACAGAGGGUCCUGCGGCUUCAGGCUCCCAGAGCCCGGCUGACUUUGGUCGACACACUAGGCCAGCAAGGAUCCUAGCGGAGGUAGAGCCCUGUGGGGGCUGCAGGGCCCGCCCCUCCCGGAGCUGCUCCCCAGGUGCUGUUCAUUCCGCAGCAGCCUCAGCGGAGCGCAUGCGCAGCGUCCUCCCCGCUGGCUCCGGAGCCCAGAGCUCGCAUGCACAGUACAUCGAGGGGGCUCCCAGGCGGUCCCCGGGGGUGCGGACCCGAGUCAGGAUCCUUGCAGGUGAGUCGAGCAUAGCCUCUGCCUGGGAGCAGGUCGCUCCAGGGCAGAAAGACCUUGGGAACAUCCUGCGAAGGACCCCGAGGCCGACGUUGUCACGAGGAAGAGGAUGCCCCAGCUGAAGCAGAGGUCCCUACGUGGUUCGCUAACCCCGCAAAAGCCAGGGGGCGGCAUCGCAGGUCGAGCACAUUUGGGGCAAGGGGUGAGGUGGGGAAGGAGCCCUCUGAGUUUCUGGGAGACAAAUGAGGAAUGGCUCAGCGCCCAGCGGGUGGGUUUGUUCCCAGGAUGUUCCAGGUUGGGUUCCUGUCGUUGGCUGGAUUUGCCAGCUCCCCUGAGUUGCCAGCUCUGCCCGCCUGAGUCCUACCUCUGGAGGCAGCAGCGACCUGUAGGGGAUGCAUUAUUUUGGGUUCUGGGUCUGACCUUCUGCUGUGGGGUCUCUCCCUGUCUCUCUUCUGCUCCUCCUCUGGCCCUUUCUCCCUCUCUGUCCUUCCCUCCUUGGCCCCUUCCCUGGCUUUCUCCUUCUGGUUCUUUGUCCCCAUAUCUCUGUCUCUUUCUCUCAGUCUCCUCCCAGCCUUCCCCCAUCCUUAACCCCUCUGUCUCCCUCCCUCUCUCCUUCCUGAUACCCCAUCGCAGGUCCUAAGGGCUUGAAGGACAGCCACACCUCCAGCAUCCCCUACAAGCUGGCUCCUUGGGCAUUUGGUGGGGCAGGGGUGUCUCCUCCACCAAGGGGCUUGGGAAAGCUGCCUCUGCACAUGGCAGACAAUCCUCUGGACCCGCAGCUCCCCACAUGCGAAACAAUUUCCUCCCAAGGCAGGCAGGACUUCCGCCUGCAUCUCCAACCCGCAAACACCUGGGCAAGAGCUCUGGACACAGGGCUCAGCAGGGAUGCGGGCGCUCUCCCAGCAAAAGCCGAGAAGCACACCAGCCAUGGCACCCCACCCGACCACAGCACGCAAAACCCUUCUGCACAGCCCAGGAGGCAAUGGCGCCCAGGGCCGCGUUCUCCACUCCCGCAGAAGGGAAGCACGUCUUGGCCCCCUUCUCAAGAGUGGCAACACUUCUGGGGCUCUCCAGCCUGUCUUGGGAGUUGGAGCCUGGCCAGAGGAGUGGGGAAUCGGAGCUGCCACUCCUGGUGGACCCCACGGGCACAGCACUGCCCGAUCCGAGCCUCAUGGGCAACCUCCACCGCGGCUGACGGUGAGGCUGCCUCCGGAAGCCCCGGAGCAAGGCCGGGGAGGGAACACGCCUCCCCUGGAGACGCCUCGGGUUCCGAACCCAGUGAGCCACACCGGGAACUCCAGGUUUUCUUUUCGCCGACUGCUGUUUUCUGCACAUGCCACCCCCUGGGGGGAAUCCCGAGGUAAGUCCCUCCCUCAGGUCAGAGAAGAAGAGGAAAUGCAAGGAAUCCCAGUGGGAAAGGAAAGAGUAGGAUGUCCCUAUUUGAAGAUGACAUGAUACUAUCCCCAGAGAAUCCUCAAGACGCUCCCAGAAACCUGUUAGAGCUCGACCAUGAAUUUGGCAAAGUCGCAGGAUACAAAAUGAAUAUACAGAGAUCAACUACAUUUCUAGAGACUCACAAUGAAAGAUCCACGAGAGAAAUUAGGGAAACAAUCCCCUUUACCAUCGCAUCAAAAAGAAUAAAUACUUAGGAAUCAACCUACCUAAAGAGACCAAAGACCUGUAUUCUGAUUACAAUCAGAUGCUGUUGUAAAAAAUCAGAGAUGACACAAUAAGAUGGAAAGACCUUGCUCUUGGACUGGAAGACUCCAGAUUAUCCAAAUGACUCCACUCCCCACGGCUGUCUACAGAUUCAGUGCAAUCCCUGUCAAGUACGAAGGACAUUAUUCACAGGACUAGAACAAACUCUCUGCAAGUUUCUUUGGAAGCACAACAGACCCAGCAGAGCCAAAGCCAUCCUGAGAAAGAAAAGGGAGCUGAAGGAAUCAGUCUUCCUGACUUCAGACUGUACAUACAAGCUACAGUCAUCAAAACCAUUUGGUACUGGCACAAACUCAGAAAUGGAGAUCAGGGGAACAAGACAGAAGCCCAGAGGGAAGCCCAUGCACCUGCAGUCCACUCAGUUAUGACAAAGGAGGCAAGAGUAUACAAUGGAGAAAAGACAGUCCCUUCCCCACGUGGUGCUGGGAAGACUGGACGGCCACUGUCACAGAAUGCAAUUAGAACCCUUCCUAACCCCAUACACAAAACUAAACUCAAAAUGCACUAAGGACCUCAAUGUAAGACCAGACGCACUAAGACUCUUAGAGGAAAACAUAGGCCACACCCUCUCUGACAUGAACCACAGCAAUGUCUGCCCAGAUCCACCUCCUAGAGGAAUGACAAUACAAACAAAAAUAAAAUAUGGGACCUAAUGAAGCAUAAAUGUUUCUGCCCAGCAAAGGAAGCCCUAACCAAGACAAAAAGGCAACCCACAGAAUGGGUGAACAUACUUGCCAGUGAAGCGACUGACAAGGGAUUCAUGUCCGGAAUUUAUAAACACCACCUGUAGCUCAAUACCAAAACAAACAAACAAAAAAACAAAAAACCCUUAGCAACCCCAACAGAAAAUGAGUAGAUCUGUCAACAGACAGUUCUCCAAAGAGGAUGUACAGAUGGCCCACUAACACAUGAAAAGGUGAUCAAAUCACUAUUAGGGAAACGCAAAGCAAAAGCUCUGUGAGCUGCCCCCGUACCGCAGCCAGCGUGUCCAUCAUGCAGACAGACGUCUGCAAACAGGAAAUGCGGGGAGGGUGUGGAGCAAAGGGAACCCUGUGAUACCAGUGGUGGGAAUGUCAGUUUGUACAGCACUGUGGAACACAGGAGGGAGAGUCCUCAGAAGACUCAAACUAGAAUAAGCAUUUGAUCCAGAAAUCCCACCCCGGUCAUCUCUCCAGAGAAAACCAUGGCCCGAAAAGAUCCGUGUACUCCAUUGUGCGUUGCAGCGCUCUGAACAAGAGCCAAGACAAGGAACCCACCUCAAUGUCCAUCGACAGAGGCGUGGAUAAAGAUGUGGUCCAUAGACGCAAAGGAGUGUGACUCAGCCAUGAAAAGGAAAGAAGGAAAGGCAUUUGCAGCCACAUGGGUGGACCUGGACACAAUCAGGCUGCGUGAAGCUAGUCAGACAGUGAGACACCCAUAUCAUGUGCUAUCACUUGCAUGUGGCAUCUAAAAAAAGGACACCGUGAACUUCACUGCAGGCCAGAUACAGACCUAUAGAUUUUGAAAGACUGAUGAUUUCCCACAGACACAGAUAGGAGGGUGGGGGGAAGGGCUGGAGGUCUAGGAUGGAAAUGCUAUAAAGUCAGGUCAUGGUGGUCAAGGUACAACAGUAAAUACAGAAAAAUUCAUUGAGUAAUUUUUUAAAAUGUUGGAAUGUAGUUGAUUUUUUAUAUAAAAAAUAAAAAUGGGCAUAUGCCUCAAGAGG